AACGAACGCUGGCGGCAUGCCUAACACAUGCAAGUCGAACGAGACCUUCGGGUCUAGUGGCGCACGGGUGCGUAACGCGUGGGAACCUGCCCUUAGGUUCGGAAUAACUCCCCGACAGGGGUGCUAAUACCGGAUAAUGUCUUCGGACCAAAGAUUUAUCGACUUUGGAUGGGCCGGCGUUGGAUUAGCUAGUUGGUAGGGUAAAAGCCUACCAAGGCGACGAUCCAUAGCUGGUCUGAGAGGAUGAUCAGCCACACUGGGACUGAGACACGGCCCAGACUCCUACGGGAGGCAGCAGUGGGGAAUAUUGGACAGUGGGGGAAAGCCUGAUCCAGCAAUGCCGCGUGAGUGAUGAAGGCCUUAGGGUUGUAAAGCUCUUUUACCCGGGAUGAUAAUGACAGUACCGGGAGAAUAAGCUCCGGCUAACUCCGUG
rnacentral:rRNA from 1 species